GAUGGAUUCAUGAAUAUGGUAUGUAAACAUAGAUCUCAUAUAGGACCAGCGGCAAGGCUUCACAAAGCCACCAAAACCAUUGGUCCACGUUUUUUUUAUAAUGCAGGCUCUUCAUUUCUAUGGAUCGAAGAUUCCGGUCUUUCUGACCACAGUUAACCUAUAUAAAGUGUUCAUGCGUACUAAAGACAUUAGGACAAAUCAACAAACUGCAGACAAAGUGUCAAUGCAAAAAUAAAAAAGGACAUUCAUUUGAAACAUAUAUAAUUUUAAAAAGAUUAUACCAAACCCCAAAAAAUUGUAACUGCAGUACAUGGAAGAAAUAAACUACUCGAUAGGAGAAGAGCUGCAAACUUUACAACAAUGACAUCGGACAGCGUAGUAGUAGAGCCUGUCUCUACUACAUGCCGUUAUCAUGAUUGUUAAUGCAUGUAAAUUUUGUUAUCAAUCCCUUUGAAAAAUGUUGGCAAAAUAGAUAAGAUUAUGAAUUCUACCACUCUCUCCUUUCGUUACACUUAUGGCGAGUACUUCUUGCGCAAAGCAAGGAGAGCGGGAUCCUGUUCUUGCA
rnacentral:lncRNA from 1 species